UACGUAGGGUGCAAGCGUUAAUCGGAAUUACUGGGCGUAAAGCGUGCGCAGGCGGUUAUGUAAGACAGAUGUGAAAUGCCCGGGCUUAACCUGGGAACUGCAUUUGUGACUGCAUGGCUAGAGUUUGGCAGAGGGGGGUAGAAUUCCACGUGUAGCAGUGAAAUGCGUAGAUAUCUGGAGGAACACCGGUGGCGAAGGCGGCAUCCUGGACCAACACUGACGCUGAGGAGCGAAAGCCAGGGGAGCAAACGGG
rnacentral:rRNA from 1 species